GUGCACCAGUUCGAUAAAAUGCAACCCUUUUCUCCCUACAGAAACCACUCACAUUUUAUCUAGCACACCACAGAAGAAUGACUAAAGGCAACUAAAGACUUUUUAAAGAGAAAGGCAAGAUCAAGAAACAAAAACCCCUAGACUUAGAGUCAUAAGCACUGAUAUUUACAAUCCCGAUACUCAUGACUGAUACUCAUGACUGGGGCUGAUGAUGGGUACUCGGAGAUCCCAGUCAGCAAAGUCAAAGUUAACAACAAUCGCAAGAAUAUAAGAAAGAAUGCUAAACAUAAACUAAAAGAAAGAAACUGAAAGUCAGGAGAAGCUGAUACACCAACAGCUGAUGACAGGAAGCUAAGAUUACUGUACAACAUUGGAACUUGAACUAAACAGGUAAAACUGAUUAGACCUCUCUCUACAACACAUAAAGGUGUCCCCGAGACACACAAACCUAAAACAUACCUAAAGAGGCAAGGCUAACCCUGCAAGCAACAUUAGAGAAUGAUAAGCUUACCAAGUCUGGAAGGUACAAGCUGGCAUGAGGCUCCCUUGGGCAGAGCAAUCUGCCUAUAAAAGGAGGGUCUUGUUCCAGCCCAAAAUUCCAACCAAGGAGCUACCUUUUGGAGUUGAUCCUCGACCUUCCCCCCUGCCAUAGUGGACUUUACUAUAGAACCACUCCCCUUUUGGCGAUGCCUGUAAGUUGUGGAUA
rnacentral:lncRNA from 1 species